rnacentral:ncRNA from 1 species
CGCAAUCCACUUAAUGUAACUCUACCUAUGGGUGCGUCAUUGGCAACGAUGAGGUGCUAAGCCGUAGAUGUAACAUAGAAAUCUACUAGCCUAAAAGCGGAUGAUCUG